rnacentral:piRNA from 1 species
UAGAUGACAAGAUCCAUUUGAAGUGGGAAU